GUGUGUGUGUGUGUGUUCAGCUUUACUGGAUUUGAAGGAAGUGACUCAGUGUUGUAAUUUCCUUUAUCUUGAAGACAUCUUAUCGAACUUUUUACAGUGCACGUUUUGUUUUUGUCACUUAUUUAUUUACAUAUUUAUUUGUUCAUUUUUACACACGUGGGUAGUCCAUUCAGGUGUUCGGCUGCUCAGCUCAGGCAGCGAAGUAUCAUUUUAUCUUGCUGUAUUAAGUUCCUGCUGUCUUCUCUCGUUGCCAGUUGUCUUAUUUAUAGAGGAAUACAUAAUUUAUUUUCCCAGUGACUCAUUUAUAUCACAUAAUUUUAGAUUCGUUUAUUAUUCAGAAUAUCCUCUUUAUUUUCUACGUUAAGUUCUCGCUGUCUUCUCUCGUUGCUAAUUAUCUUAUUUAUAAAGGAAUACAUACUUUAUUUUUCCUAGUUACUAAUUUCUACCGCAUUAUUUUAGAUUCGUUUAUCAUUACCAAAUAUUUUCUCUUAUUUACAUGAAGUUCUUGCUAUGUUCUCUCGUUGUUAAUUGUCAGAUUUAUAAAGAACUACACUUUUUUCCCAGUGACACACUUAUACCGCAUAACUAUAGAUAAUUUAUUAAAGGAUAAGAUAGGGUUGGAUUUGGUUAGGUUUAUGUGGUAGUAAAAUAGGGUUGGCUUAGGUUAAGUUAGUGUGAUGGCAAGAUAGGGUUGGCUUAGGUUUGGUUACUGUGAUGGUAAGAUAGGGUUGGCUUAGGUUAGGUUAGUGUGAUGGCAAGAUAGGGUUGGAUUAGGUUAGGUUACUGUGAUGGUAAGAUAGGGUUGGAUUAGGUUAGGUUCCUUUUGGCAGGUUAGUUAGGUUAGUGAUUUUAAGAUAGGCUUUUAAUAAGACCAUCAAGCUAUUGGUGUAACAGUAACAGCAAACUUUUUCUUUAUUUUUUUGUUGUUUCCUGUUUUUGUUGUUGCCCUUGAGCUACUUCCAUUGCCUUAAAAAGAAUUGUAUCAGCACUUGCAUCUAGGACUCAUGAGAAGUUUGAAGUUUCCUUAAGUCUUUCCACGGGUUGAAUCCUUCGCUAGAGCUGUCUGUCUUGAAGUUCCUAUAGUCCUGUGGCGUGAAUCCUUGGGGCUGUCUGUCUUGUAGGUCCUGUAGUCCUGUGGCGUGAAUCCUUGGGGCUGUCUGUCUUGUAGGUCCUGUAGUCCUGUGGCGUGAAUCCUUGGGGCUGUCUGUCUUGAAGGUCCUGUAGUCCUGUGGCGUGAAUCCUUGGGGCUGUCUGUCUUGAAGGUCCUAUAGUCCCUCAGUGUCUUGAAUAUCCUUGGGGCUGUCUGUCUUGUCUGUCUUCUUGGCACGGUUCAAAAGGAUGCGUGUUUCUCUGGAAGUGUUUUUAUGUUUCUUUAUAUUGAUUCAUUUUUAUUUUUAUUGUUGACUAACCUGAUGAUUGAUGCAGUUACCCCUUUACCAGUAUUUGUUAUUUAUUUAUCAUUAUUAUUAUUAUUUAGAUUUUUAUCAUUUUUUUGUGUACCAUCAGUUCAGUGUGUGUGUGUGUGUGUGUGUGUGUGUGAUAACCCGCCCUAGCUAGGAGGAAUAUGUAUGUAGGAACCCAUACAUCUAUUUACAGGCUCUGCAACACACACACACACACACACACACACACACACACACACACACACACACACACACACACACACACGUCUUCUAUUACUUAUUGAUCGUGAUUUGGUCGAUAUUUUUGUCUUCUGUCUUUUCAUAACACAAACUCACCUCCACCACCAUCAUCGCCACCACCACCAUAACCAUCACCACCACCACCACCAUGCAGUCAAGUUUCAAUCGUGGUGAAGAUCGUGUGGUGGUGGUGGUGGUGGUGGUGGUGACGCGGGAUGUGAUUGUCCCAGUUAAGGUUCAUUACUGUCUCCUCCUCCUCCUCCUCCUCCUCCUCCUCCUCCU